UUUUAAAAUAUUAAAAAAAAAACUAAAUCUCUAAAAAAAAAUCCCAAAUUCUAAACCUAAAUCUCAGUUUCAAUUUCGACUUCUCUCUCCGUCGACAGAGCCCAGGCUGCCCAACCCAAACCAGUCAUCGCUCUCUCUUUCUUCGCCUCCCACGGUGGUCUAGUUCGUGCUCGGUAGUCUCCUGUCCUCGUCAUCGCUCAGGCAGUCAGGCUGCUUGGUUGGAGAAGAGUAGUGGGAAACUUUGUUUGUUGAUAUCGUCAAAGGCCUUGAGAAUAACUGGAAUAGAUGAUCGAAGGUAUUGGAAUUACAUUCCAACUCAAGAAUCAAGAUUGGAUUUCCACUCCUCCAAAACCCUCUUCUUCCCAAAAAGACCACGAUCAGUGCUUCCACACCGCCAACGAUGGGGAGUUUAGGGGGUACUGUUUACACGACCACCACCAUCGCCACCCACAUCAAGAAAUAGGGUAGAGAAACACUACUCCCAAUCGGAUCAACAGACGGAUUGGAGGCCGAGUUGAUGCAGAGCGCCAUGGCUCUUCAACAAGCAAAAAGGUUACUUGCAACAAUACUAUAUGUGGCCGUCGGAAUCGUUGCCUUGAAUUAGGCAGUUGCCCUUACAUGGUCUCUUAUGUCUCAGGAGAAACAUCUACUUCUGGAGUAUUGAUAGAGGAUGUCCUGCACUUGAAAAGGGAAGAUAAAUAUCAGGAACUUGUUGAGGCAUACGUCACUUUCGGUUGUGGAGAGGUUCAAAGCGGUUCAUUCCUUGAUGUUGCAGCUCCCAAUGGUUUAUUCUUUGGGCUUGGAAUGGAGAAGAUA